AAAACUGACAAAGCAUUAAAAGAAACAUAAAUAAUCCCAACCACCCAAGUAGAUUAUUCAAUUCCAAAGCAUUUGAAAAGCAAAACCCUUCAGCAGUCUGUCCAAGUAUUAUCCCAUCAAUCCUAUCAAUUUGCUUCAAUAAUAUACUGGAAGGUGUUCUUUCAAAAACCAUUGCCCCUCUUUAGAAUCUUGGCGCUCCUUCAUCUAAAAAGACCCCAAAAUUCCCCUUCCAACUAUUUCCUUUCCCUCUUCCAGAACGGGGAACUGAUAUCAGAUGUGGCUUGUACGAUGUGAUUAUCACCGAUCUACUUCAAUAGCACCGAGUGUGUAGGAACAAGCAAUCUCCUUCGACUUCUACAUUCAGAAAACCCAUUUGAGCUCCUGUCAAAAUCGGUUGGAAGUAAGCCAAUGCAUUUGCUGCAAUUGGUGAAGAUGAAAUGCACUGUCUCCCUUGCAGUUGCACUUUGCCCUUCAUGUAGCAAUUCGUUGCGUGCAGUCCAGAUUGCCUACAACCCACAACAAAAUAACCGAUAAAGACACUCUUGAAAAACAUGUUCAACUGUUUCCACACCAUUAUGGGAGUGGGGAUAGUUCGCAGAGUUCAUCAACCUCCUGUAGUUUAGGUUUGAAUAAGUAAGCACAUAGUUGCUCAUAAUCCUCCAUGUUGUAAUUUUUAUUUUGGAGGGUAGAUCAAUAUUCCAAAGCCUUUUGUAUAAGUUAGAGUAGGGGUAGAAAUUUCCAUCAGUAGAAGUUCCAUAAUGGUUAUGUAUCAACCAUUUGUAAGCAUUUCGGACCGUAUAUUCCCCUGUAGCUUCACCACUCCAAGCGCGAACAUUCUUUUGUGGAACAAGGGGUAAGGGAAUGGCUAGAAUCUACCGAGCAUAAUCAAUAAAAAAGGAUUUUGAAUUCGUUGAUUUUGAUUUCCAAGUAUCCAUGCAUUGGCCCUCACCGAGACCUUAGUACCUGAACCAAUUCUCCAGCACAUUCCUGCCUCCAAAAUGCCCUUGGUGGCUCAUAUGCUUCUCCAGGUAUAGGAAGGGUUAUUAAGCUAUCUCGGGUUGGAGAUCACUGGAGAUUCUAUCACACUAACAAGCUAUCAUUUUUGGUAUAAAUGAAGUCAAGCAUUUUGAGUUUAUGGCAUGUAUAGGGACUAAGUCAAUUUGUUUUAUGUAACACCCCUUACCUGUAUCCGACGCUAGAACUGUAACACCCCUAUCCCGUGUCCGUCGCCGGAAUAGGUAAAAGGGCAUUACCGGACUUGAAACUCAUAUCAGAACAGUAAUUUUUUUUUUUUGAAAUAAGGAGCAUUCCUUUGGGUAAAUACUAAA